rnacentral:lncRNA from 1 species
GCCGGGUGCGGCGGGAGACGGCCCGGGAGGCGGGAGGUCGCGGACCUGCCCGACAGAAGAGUAGAUGAGGGGAGACCGAGGACGCCCGGGUCCGGGGAGCGUACGAGGAGGCCGGGAUCGCGGGUUCACGUGGGCACCUUGGAACACUGAAGAAGGCAUUUUCCGAACUCACUGUCCUACGGACUUAUUCUCCGCACUGUUUUCGCCUCCUUCGCCCUGUUCUCGUGACUGACAGCAGCAGGGGUCACAAGCAGGCAGCCCGAGAGCUCUGCUCACCUGGAAAAGCAUUUUUGUGUAGCUUAAAUGUGAAGGCCUCAGGCAGUGGCCUGGUGUCCUCCUCCACAUGCGCCCAUCUUCGCUCUUUCAUGUGACUGGCCUGUUUUUGAAGGCAGGACCCUGUCACCCUUGGCUAGGCCAGGUAUGUUCUGCACCGAAAAUGGCCCUGCCCUCUGCAUUGGAUGGCUAGCUUUUAGGUUGGUUUAUUUUAGCAAAUAAGCGUUACAGGGUAGGCGAACUGGCUGCAUCAGAACCUCAAUUACCCCUGUGUCUCUGGGUGGGAUAAAUGGCGGAUGGCA